UACAGAGGGUGCAAGCGUUGUUCGGAAUUAUUGGGCGUAAAGCGCGUGUAGGCGGCUUUGCAAGUCGGGUGUGAAAGCCCUCGGCUCAACCGAGGAAGUGCGCCCGAAACUGCAGAGCUUGAGUACCGGAGAGGGUAGCGGAAUUCCCCAAGUAGAGGUGAAAUUCGUAGAUAUGGGGAGGAACACCGGUGGCGAAGGCGGCUGCCUGGACGGAUACUGACGCUGAGACGCGAAAGCGUGGGUAGCAAACAGG
rnacentral:rRNA from 1 species